ensembl:lncRNA
GUGUCUUAAAGGGCCUCUUCGUCAGAAAAUCUCUGAGAUUUCAGGGCCACACAGAAAUGAAAGCUAUUCACGCGCACAGUAGCUUUCUUCAUCUUGUACUUCUUAUUUAUUUGAAGCCGACAUUUAUCUCUAAUAACAUUACUUGUUGACUUUGCACUUUUCUUGAAUUGAGAAAAAUAUGCUUUAUGGUUUUAUGGUCUCUCAGCCAAAAGAAUAUGUUUAAGCUCCAAGCACAGUGAAUGGAAUACAACAGAAUGGAGGGGACACUAUUAGGCUCAUAGCAUGAGCCUCAAGUUGUGCUUACUUGAGAGGCCUCGUCUCUUUUGAAAGACUGCCUGGCAACAAAUUGCCUACACUGGGAAAAAAGAGGUUCAAGGACAAUGGGCCAAGUUGGAGUGAGGGGGAUACUUCUGAGUAAAUAAAGAUGAUGAUGACUACCAUGCUCACCCGUAUCAUCACCAACACUAUUAUCUUCUGGCCCCGUCUUUAUGGAUUAAUGCUUGAGUUUGGAAGAAUAAUCUAGAAUCCCAACCAUUCUACUAAAAUCUCUGGGAGAUUGAGAAUGAAAGUCAGCUUGAAGAGAUUCAGCAAAGUUGGUGCCAGAAACUGACAGCACGAAGAGAUGAUUCAACUACCCGGAGACUUGAGGCAAAUCCUCUUUUCUUUAUUCGUGAGAUUCACGGAUGGACGAUGGCUCCAUCUUUCAAAGCACACACCUACCAGCAUCUCUUUCACAGAGGGAAUUUAGACAUCUAAAAUCCUCAAGCUCCAGAAACUGGUCAUUGAGAAGAUGGAAAUGGUGCUGCUACAGCCACCUGCAGAGCUGGAGGUAGGCUUGGCUGACAUUACUGCUCACUGUCUGGCCCAUGUGGCCUGUCCUCCAAGCUCCCGGGUCAGAGACUGCAGACAAGAGCCUCCUCAGCCCAGACAUCACGGAGGCCUCUCGCAUCAUCACGGCUGCCAUCCCUGAAAAAAGUGACACGUAUCCCAUCACUACCCCUUCCCACCAUAGCCCACUUGGCCUCACCUCCCAAUAAGCCACAUGACUUUGGGGGAAAAAAACUCAAAAAAUAAAAUUAAAAAAUUCCUGGUCUCUCCUGCCUCUGGGCCACUCCUGUACCUGACCACCAGAAGGUCAGAAACCAGAAUCUCAAGUCAUGAAUCUAGACAUGCUGGACAAAUGGGAAACUGAUGAAAAGAAAAGAAGUGGAAAUGCAGGCUGAAAGCAGUAUUAAGAUGGAGGGAGGUGGUGUACAAUAUAUUAUGUGAACUCAGGGUGUCUACCAUCAGGCUAGUGUAAAGUACAUUUCGCCCAGGUUUACUAAGCUUCAGGCACAUUCAUAAUUCAGCUGUAUGGGGGCAAAAGGCAGCCAAACAGUGUCUGAGUGGUAAGAAAUGGCCUACAGAUGAGAAAUUGUGAAUAAUUCAUAUGUUUUAAGAUCAUCUAUGUGAUUUAAUGUGAGAUGUUAAUGGUAUAAACAAUUAACAAAGUAAUUUAUUGAAGUGAUAUUCAGACUUGUUUUCCACUUCUAUGGAUUCUUAUUUCAAUUAUUCUUAUUUAAAGAAGAUAAAAUAUACAUUGGCAGUAAUUGAUAUUGGGUAUAAAUUUCCUGCAAUAUAUUUUAAUUUCACAUCCUUGUCUUUGUAAUAACAGCAAUUCAGAUCCAAUGAACAUUUUUGUCUAUGCACCAUUGCAUUAAAUGCAUUCAGUUUUACCCAAAUUAAAAAAAUAUUUUUAUAAUGAGCUAUAUAAAUGCCUGAGUUAGAAAAUGUACUCAUUUGUAAUUAGAUGACUAGAUAUUAACUGCUGUCUUUAUAUGUGCACAUAUAUAAAUAAACACAUGAAGAUAGGAGGAAUUGUAUAGUCUACAUAGCUUUUAUAUUUAAAUGUAUUAUAGAUCUAAUAUAUUAUACUCUUGCAGAAAACCUAAGACCAACUAUGCGAGCCAUUACAAUCCAAGUCUUGUGCAUGUCUCCAAACUCCCCUCAUACUGCUCUUCCAUUUGUUGCCAACC